rnacentral:rRNA from 1 species
GACGUAGGUGGCGAACGUUAUCCGGAAUUAUUGGGCGUAAAGGGUGCGUAGGCGGCAUGAUAAGUUAUUGGCGGGAAAUCGAGGCUCAACCUCGUGGAAACUGAUAAUACUGUUUUGCUUGAGUACAGGAGAGGUUAACGGAACUCCAUGUGGAGCGGUAAAAUGUGUAGAUAUAUGGAAGAACAUCAAUAACGGCGAAGGCAGUUAACUAUUCUGUUACUGACGUUGAGGCACGAAAGCGUGGGGAGCAAAAAGG